rnacentral:lncRNA from 1 species
GCCUGUGAUGGCAGGAACUGGGAAUGCAUGGCUACGGCCUCCAUCGCCACGGUUACCGCCAGCGCAGCUUUGUUUAUUUGCUUCCCUUGAAGCGGGAGGGAGAUCCAUCCCCUGAAGAACUCCAUAUUAAUGUAUUUAGAGACGGAGGACGGCGAGACAGAGCGGAGGGAGUCUCACUGGGGUACAGUGAAGAGGACAUUUGUUACCACGAAGGGGGACCACUUUAGCAUUCUUCUAUUUAACUGACCCGUCAAAAUAUCUUCCUUGUAACAAUUUAGGAACCCGUUAAUUUUACACAUUUGUUUCUUAAGCACAAAAAACGACGGCCAAACAUUUCUUCAAUGGAUGAAUUAACUUAUUUCCAAGCAAAGAAAAAAACAUACUUUCAAUUAAGUGUAUUCUUAUUUUAGUGUUUUACUGUCUGUGUGUGCUUGUGUGUGUGUAUGUGUGGGUGUAUGGGCCAAAGCAAAAACUGCAAAAACGUGUUUGACACGUUUGCUGUGUAAUUGUUUAAUGUGUGUGUGUGUGUGUGUGUGUGCGUGUUGUGUGUGUGUUUACAGUUAACUGGGAAGGAGCUGCCUCUUGAUCGUCAGUUAUCCCUGGCUGCACGCCUCUACCUGGUCAUCCACUUCCUGCUGGUCCUGGGCCUGUACUUCAAAGUCAAAACGAUGCAAAGCCAGCUCACUGUGCUGGCCAUGAUCGGAUACAUGCUGCUCACCUUCACCUCGCUUGGUCACCUCAUGGACCGCAGGCCGAAGGCGGCCGUUUGGGAGAUGCUUCGCUGCGCUGUCAUGCUGGCGAUGCAGAGCUACGGCUACAUGGACGCCAUCGUGCCUGCACUGACCACACCGGCCAAGGCCUUUGUCUCCCUCUGUCUGCUGUUCUGGGUACUGCACAAUGGCUCCCAGCUGGUCCGCAUCAAGAACAAGUCCAACUGAUUCCAAUCACACACCUGGAUAAUGUGCUUGGACUGUAAGGGUACAUAUAUAUUUGAUAUACCAUAACUUAAACAUAAUGCUACAGUAUAAUCUCUUAACCAGUGUGGAUUCAAUUAUUGUUAUCUUUAUUAAUACGGAGUAUAAUGAGUGGAUUAUCUUUAUACAAUAACUGUAUUAAUGUGUAUAAUUGUCAAUGGUGCAUAUGGUACAUAUAAUUUAUUUGUACUUAAAUAGAAUGAAAAGUAUGAUUCUGAUCGCUUAACAUUGUUAAGCCUGCUAACUACGUCAAAAUGAAUACGUAUUUGAACUUGUUGUUGUGAAUGAAGUAAUGAAAUGCAGUCAAAUCACUGUGAUUACACUGUAAGAUAUACAGGGAAAAACGAACAUUUGAAAUAUAAUGUGAUGAUAUUGAUUUAGCCUCAUAGGUUUGGAUGCCUCCAAGUGUCUAGUUAUUUCUAGGAUUGUUGAAGCCAGUAUGGAUAAUAGUGUUGAUCUUAACAUCUUAAACUUUUGACCUGUCAUAUAACCUCAAGAGAAUAAAGUCUGUAUUCCAGAUAGCCGAUUUCCUUUUACAGUCUUGGUUGACAAGGUGAGCUGCUCGCAU